rnacentral:rRNA from 1 species
AUGAAUAUCCUAUGUCUUAACUGUCGGGGUUGCGGGCGGCCUGAGACAGUUAAUGAAAUAAGCAACUUAGUUAAGUUGUAUCACCUGUGCUUAGUCUUUUUCUCGGAGACUAAGCUGUCUACUACGAGAGCUCAGGACUUGCGAUUCAGGCUCGGUUUCUCCAAUGCUUUUGGUGUUGGAAGUAAUGGACUCAGUGGCGGUUUGGUUCUUUUUUGGAACAACGAUUCAGUAGUGAGUUUGGAAUCUUAUAACAAUUCCCACAUUGAUGUUUCGAUUCAGAAUGAGAACUUGGGAGAGAAAGAAUGGAGAUUCACAGGUUUUUAUGGGGAACCAGUGAGAUCCAGGAGGAAGAACAGUUGGGAACUAAUGAGAUAUUUAAGGCAAAAAUCUAAUCUACCAUGGCAUUGCGCAGGGGAUUUCAAUGAAGUUCUCGAUGCGAGUGAACAGUUUGGAGGGAAUGUCCGGGAAGAAUGGAAAAUGGAUGGUUUCAGUGAGGCUGUGGAUGAUUGUCGGUUGGAUGAUUUGGGUUAUAUUGGUCUGCCGUAUACGUGGGAUAACAGACAACAAGGCAUGAACAAUGUUAAAGUAAGACUUGAUAGAGGUCUUGGUGAUGAGAAAUUUCAGGAAAGCUUUGACAACACCUCAGUGCUGCACGCUCAGACCAUGGAAUCGGACCAUUGUGCUUUGAUAAUCACAAUUCAAAUAUCUAAUUGGUUUGGCAGGGAUAAAAGAUCGAGGCCUUUUCAGUUCGAGAAUGCUUGGACUAGACACGAAAAUUAUGACAAGGUGGUAACCCAAGCUUGGAUCCCGUGCAAUGGGAAUCUGUUGGAAGUGCAGGAUUCACUGUCCAUUGUGAAGGGGAACUUGCAGAGAUGGAGAAUAGAUGAGUUUGGAUCGGUAACAAGACAACUAAAAAGCUUGAGGUUUAAACUGGAGAAUAUAAGGGGAUGCUCUUUGGGUCAGGGACCAUCAAAUCAAGAGAGAAGUUUAAUGAGGCGGAUUUUGGAACUAAUUACUAGGGAAGAAAUGAUGGCCCGACAAAGAUCACGUGUAAAUUGGAAACUGAAAGGGGAUCGCAAUACAUGUUACUUUCAUGCUCGAGCUCGACAGAGACAAAGAACAAACCACAUUAGAUCUUUGAAAAAAGAUGAUGGAGGUAUUGUCACAGCUCAGGAGGAUAUGGAAGAAGAGGCAAUUAAGUUCUACCAGCACCUCUUUAGAGCUGACCUUCAUACUAGGCCGGAAAGGAUUACAGAAGUUAUUCAAAACAAAGUCACAAAUGUGAUGAAUGAGAGACUUUGUGCGCCAGUGACUGAUGAGGAGAUAGAAAAUGCAUUGUUUAUGAUGCAUCCCAGUAAGUCUCCUGGACCUGAUGGGUUUAUGGCAGGUUUCUAUAUUCGGCACUGGAGUUUAUUGAAGCCUUCCAUAUGCGCGGCGAUAAGAUCAUUUUUUGAGACAGGUAAUAUGCCAGAGGCAAUUAACAAAAUUGUACUAGUUUUGAUUCCAAAGAUAAAAGCUCCACAAGAUCUAAUGCAGUACAGGCCAAUUUCCUUGUGUAACGUGCUUUAUAAAAUCGUGUCAAAGGUGAUGGCGAUCAGGUUGAGACCAAUCCUUGAUGAAAUUAUCUCUGAGGAGCAAAGUGCAUUUGUUCCGAACCGGCUUAUUUCAGACAAUGUGCUAACUGCAUAUGAAUGCAUUCACUAUCUGAAAAGAAAGAAGGGGAAGUCAGGAGCUUGUGCUAUCAAGCUUGAUAUGGCAAAAGCCUAUGAUAGGGUAGAGUGGCCUUAUCUUCGGGCAGUUCAAGCAAAAAUUGGAUUUGCUGAUCAGUGGAUUGACAAAAUUAUGGCCUGUGUGGAAUCGGUGUCCUUCUCUGUUCGUGUCAAUGGGGUUUUCUCGGAGUCUUUUAAACCCACUCAUGGUAUUAGACAAGGCGACCCAAUUUCACCUUACCUGUUUCUUUUAUGUGCCGAGGGAUUAACAUGCUUGCUGAAAUCUUAUGGAUCUGCUCAUUUGCGUAAAGGAAUCAGGGUGGGUAUUCACGCCCCUUGGGUGUCACAUUUACUUUUCGCUGAUGACUGUCUGGUUUUUACUCAGGCAACAAGUGAUGGGGCAGCAAAAUUGAAUGAAAUACUUGAGAUAUAUAGAGAAGGGUCAGGUCAGAGGGUUAACAAGACCAAGUCUACAAUAUUUUUUAGCACAAACUGUAGUGAUGAAAUGAAAGUUGAAACUCAUAGUAACUCGGGCAUUGGGACAGAAGCGUUGAUUGAGAAAUAUCUCGGUCUACCUACGGCAUUAGGAAGAUCAUUUGAUAGUCAGUUCGAACAUGUGGUAGUCCAAAUCAAGAAAUUGGUUAAUGGUCAGGCACCUAAAUUAAUGAGUAGUGCAGCCAGGGAAGUGCUCAUUAAAUCUAUAUGUCAAGCAAUACCAACUUACUCAAUGGGUUGUUUCAGGCUAUCCAAAAAAACAUGCAAAAAGAUCACUAGCAUUGUGGCAAAGUUCUGGUGGGGAGGAGAUGAAAAGAGAAGGAGAAUGCACUGGAAAAAAUGGAAGGACAUUGCUAUACCAAAAUGUGAGGGGGGGGAUGGGAUUUACAGACUUUGGCCUCUUUAA